rnacentral:rRNA from 1 species
CUGGUUGAUCCUGCCAGUAGUCAUAUGCUUGUCUCAAAGAUUAAGCCAUGCAUGUCUCAGUGCACGCCUUUAUACGGUGAAACCGCGAAUGGCUCAUUAAAUCAGCUAUGGUUUAUUGGAUCAUACCCGUUAAAUGGAUAACUGUAAUAACUCUAGAGCUAAUACAUGCCAUUAUGCCCUGACCCUCACGGGAAUGGGUGCACUUAUUAGAUCAGAAGCCAACCGUGUACGGCUGCAAGGCAGUGCAUGUUGACCUUCUGGUGACUCUGGAUAAUUGUUACAGAUCGCAGUCGGCCUUGAGUCGGCGACGGGUCCUUCAAAUGUCUGCCCUAUCAACUUUCGAUGGUAGGUGACCUGCCUACCAUGGUGAUAACGGGUAACGGGGAAUCAGGGUUCGAUUCCGGAGAGGGAGCCUGAGAAACGGCUACCACUUCCAAGGGAGGCAGCAGGCGCGCAAAUUACCCACUCCCAGUACGGGGAGGUGGUGACGAAAAAUACCGAUGCGGGACUCUUAACGAGGCUCCGUAAUCGGAAUGAGUGAACUAUAAAUCCUUUCACGAGGAUCAAUUGGAGGGCAAGUCUGGUGCCAGCAGCCGCGGUAACUCCAGCUCCAAUAGCGUAUAUUAAAGUUGCUGCAGUUAAAAAGCUCGUAGUUGGAUCUCGGUAUCACUGUUGCUCGUCAGUCCUUAGGCGGUAGACUGCGUGUGCAUGGGUUUGACUCGUGUUGCCGUGGUUUGUCGUCCGAGUUGGCGGUGUGACGGUGUCGCCUUUCAGCCAUGUCUGUGGUGAAAUACCCGCAGGUGUAGGCGAGUGUCAGGCGGUGCCUUGCGAAAGUAGGGCUCGUCGGCUCGUCUGCAUGCCUUUGGAUGCCCUUUAAAAGGUGUCUGUGGGCGGAUGGCACGUUUACUUUGAACAAAUUUGAGUGCUCAGACCAGGCCGGUGUUGCCUGAAAAGUUUUGCAUGGAAUAAUGGAAUAGGACUUCGGUUCUAUUUCGUUGGUUUUCGGAUCCGAAGUAAUGAUCAAAAGAGACAGGCGGGGG